rnacentral:tRNA from 3 species
GGAGUGAUGGGUGAGUGGCUGAAACCGGUUCCCUGCUAAGGAAUUUAACGGGCUUAUACCCGUUACGAGGGUUCGAAUCCCUCUCACUCCGCCA